rnacentral:lncRNA from 1 species
UAAUAUUGUGCUUAAAUGGGCUUCGUGUGUGGAUUUUGGUGGGUCCAAUGGUUAGUUGGAUUGAAGACAAGGGAUUGGGUGUUGUGUAUAGUCAUAUUGGGCAAAAGUGCACUAUUUGUGUGGAUGGGAAACUUGGCAUUUGGGUUUAGAAACUUCUGAACGAGAAAAGCAUUUGGGCAAUGGGAUAUAGUUUGAUGAUUAAUUAAGUUUGUAAAAGCAUGUGGGUCGAAGUGGUAUACAGUGGUAUGUUUAAUUAAGUUUGUAGAAACACGUA